rnacentral:rRNA from 1 species
UACGUAGGGCGCGAGCGUUGUCCGGAAUUAUUGGGCGUAAAGAGCUCGUAGGCGGCCUGUCGCGUCGGUUGUGAAAGCCCGGGGCUCAACCCCGGGUCUGCAGUCGAUACGGGCAGGCUAGAGUUCGGUAGGGGAGAUCGGAAUUCCUGGUGUAGCGGUGAAAUGCGCAGAUAUCAGGAGGAACACCGGUGGCGAAGGCGGAUCUCUGGGCCGAUACUGACGCUGAGGAGCGAAAGCGUGUGGAGCGAACAGG